UGAAGGGUUGCAGCGAUGCCUAUCGUUGUCCGCGAGCUUCUCUCUUAUGCCUUGUGUCUAUUGUAGAUGAAGAUGCCUAUCGCCACCAGCGAAGGGUCGCAGCGAUGCUUAUGACCGUCUACAGGCUUCUUUCAUGAGCUCGGUGCCUAUCGCUGUCAGCAGGCUUCUUUCAUGUGCUUAGUGCCUAUCGCUGUUCGCGACCUUCGUUCGUGCGCUCGGUGCCUAUCUCUAUCCACGGGCUUCUCUCGCAUCCCUCUCCUAUCACCGUGUGCUUUACAAGAAGCUAUCGCCACUAGCAGAGGGAUGUGUUGCCUUCUCAUGUUGCCAACGACGAUGCCUAUCGCCAUCUGAAGUUCGCUGCCUGUCCUUUUCACUGUGAGCAGCAGAGUGUAGCGCCGUCCAGGGGCCGCAACAUUGUUACUCCAUGGCCAUGGGUGGAGAUCUUAAUGCCGUCGGGACCCUCUCUCUUUGCCUUCUCGUGCCUUCUCUUUGUUCUCUUUUCUUCUCUUUUCUCCUCAUUCUUGCUUGACUAAAUGACAGACUCAGUCUAGCACUGUCAUUGCGGUCUGGCUGUCGAGUAGUAUUACCGUCUUGCUAGUCCUAAGUACCUUGCCCGUCUUACUGCCACACCAGAUUAAGACAAUCGAUAUGACCUUGGUUUCGAGCAGUAUUGUCGUUGCGCCGGUCUGAGUUACCGUGCAUAUCUUACUACCACUCCGAGUUGGUCACUGUACUGGUUCAGCUAUCAUGCUAGUCUCGACCCCAUAUCAAGUCCUCUUCUCUUUUCUUUCUUUAUUCGAAUCUUAUUCUUCAUCAGCAUAACUUCUCAUCUUCUCUGCCAUAUGAAUGUGCAUUGCCCAAUGACAAGGGUGGGUCCUUCGGCCUACUUGCAAGUUAAACAUGAUAGUGUUGUGCAGAAAACAAGGAGAUUGCAGGUCAAGGGAGGCGAUUCCAUACCAGCUAGGGGGACUUUUCGUCGUAAGUCACAGACUCAGGUGAGGUUGGUCCCCACCUCACGAACAAAUUCCUCUCUCACUAAUUAGGCACAUGUCCUUAUUCUGUGAACAAAGUUCCC
rnacentral:lncRNA from 1 species